rnacentral:rRNA from 1 species
GCGGCGGACGGGUGAGUAACACGUGGGCAACCUGCCUGCAAGACGGGGAUAACUCCGGGAAACCGGGGCUAAUACCGGAUAAUAUCUUCCUUCGCAUGAAGGAAGGUUGAAAGGCGGCGCAAGCUGCCGCUUGCAGAUGGGCCCGCGGCGCAUUAGCUAGUUGGUGAGGUAACGGCUCACCAAGGCGACGAUGCGUAGCCGACCUGAGAGGGUGAUCGGCCACACUGGGACUGAGACACGGCCCACACUCCUACGGGAGGCAGCAGUAGGGAAUCUUCCGCAAUGGACGAAAGUCUGACGGAGCAACGCCGCGUGAGCGAAGAAGGUCUUCGGAUCGUAAAGCUCUGUUGUCAGGGAAGAACAAGUACCGUUCGAACAGGGCGGUACCUUGACGGUACCUGACCAGAAAGCCACGGCUAACUACGUGCCAGCAGCCGCGGUAAUAC